UCAAAAUGAAGCUCAGCUCUCCAGGACCCUGUGUUGGUGGUUUUGCAUUUUCCCUCUUCCUUCCCAAGCUUCACCUCUGCUUUCUCUGCCUUGCCCUUUCCCGGAGAGAUUGAAGGUCAUGAACUCCACCUUCCUCAUUUCCUACCCAAAGCUUCCAGCUGUGCUUGGAGCCUGAGGCUCUAGCAGGUGUUGAGGAAGGAAGAGAGCUGCUACAGCUUUUCUUUUCUUCUUCUGGGCCUGCAACUCACUUCCCUGUAAUUUCACCUCUUACUAGGUAAGAUAACUCACUCGCUCCACCUGCCCAUUUGAUUUUAAGCGUGAUUCUUGUUUUCCUCUUUUGUCUGGGUGUCUCCUUUAAAUUCUUCGUACUUGAAACAUUGGAAGGUGAAUUCUGUUUUCUGUGGGGAAAUUAACUGAAGGAGACAUGAUGUUUUCAUAGUUGAUGUUUUCAAAAUCUCUAUUAUACAAACUAUAUUAGGUGAGAGUUAAACUAGCAACAAAUAAUAAAACACCUCACUCAAGAGACUUAAGUGAGAACUACCGGUGUAGAGCAUGGUAUAGCAUUUGAAAUGCAUGAAUCCCUGGAUUCACUUCUUAACAUUGUGAGAAUUAAAACCUAAAGAUUAGAAGGACCUGAAUUAAUUAAGGCUUAUUAAUUUUGCAUAAAAGGAAUCUUGAGGUAAAUGUCCACCAAUUAAUUUUGGAAUCUACUGUGUAGGAACUGACAUUUCCUUGGCUCACCUGGCCUUUAUUUUAGGAUCACGCAGUGACUGUUUUUAGCUCCAGUCAUUUCAUUUAAUUUGGGAAAAAGGACACAUGCUGUAUUUGUCCUUAGUGAGAACUUCAUUUCCUGGAGGCUGCUGUUGGCUAAUUGAUACACAGUAUCUUUGUCCCUUUGGUUGAACUGUGUCCUCCAAAAACGCAUAUGUUGAGGGGGCUGAAGAGAUGGCUCAGUGGUUAGGAGCACUGGCUGCGUUGCCAGACGACCCAGCUCCAGUUCCCAGCUCCUACUUGACAGUCAUCUCUAACUCCAGAUGCUCACUCACUACCGGCCCCUACAGGUACUACAUAGAGGUACUCACUACACAGACAUACAAGACGCUCAUACAUGAUAAAAGUGAAACACAGAUGUUUGCUUGUGAAAGUGACAAUAAGUAAUGAAAACGGAAGGAUGGGAAAUUGUGCUAGUAAAGAGGAAAGUUAUGUAACCUAGAUGGAAAGAUUAAGAGUUUAUAUAUAAGUGGUGAAAAUGGCUGUGACCAGUAAGGGCUAAGGAGGCCCACCGUGCCUUUGCAUCACUGAGAUCUAAACGAGAGAGCUGGAAAGUACUUUUUCUAUCAUUUUCAGCAUUUAGUUUUUCAUAGCAAGCACUACAUAUUGAAUUUUAUUCUUGGCAUUUGACCAAUGUAUCUUGGCAUGCUAAAACCAAGAAGAUUAAAUAAAGGUGGGGUGGGGGUGGGGGGGACACAUAUUACAUUUAUAUCAUCUGAAGGCAAAUUUCUUCUUACUCAGACUUUUACAUCCUCAGAAAUAGCCUAUUAUUUGAUGAUAGAAAAGAUACGUGAGGCUUGGCUGAAAUCAAGUCUUACAGAUGAGAUAGAGUAUGUUUCCUUUAGCCACUCUGGUUUCUCGAGAUCAUACUGCUAGCACUUAAGGAUUUUGAUAGGCUAAAUUUCUCUGACAGUUAAAGAACUAAAAGGCAGGAAAACCUCAAGUGCAACAGAUAGCAGCAAUGAAAAUCUCAGACACAGCAGGCAGAAUCAACCAGUGAAAACAGGCUUUUAUUAGGAGUAGGGAAACACACACACACACACACACACACACACACACACACCACAAAUACAUACAUACAACGAGAGAGAGAGAGAGAGAGAGAGAGAGAGAGAGAGAGAGAGAGAGAGGAGAGAGAGCGCAAGGCACACACACACACAUUACACAUAUACAUACACAGCAAGGCACAUAUACAUCACAAUACAUACACACUCCACACUUACAGCAAGGCAUACACAUAGAAAGACCUUCUGAAGGGCAGGAAGAGUAGUUGGGAACCCCAAAUCUAACCACCUUUGAAGGCUGCGUUUUAAGGAUCCUUGAAGGGUCUUCCUUCAUGAUAAAGACAGGGAGGCUGUGGGGCCCAAACGUUGUGGUAAACAAGUCCUGAUCCAGCCUUGAAUUUGUCACACUGAUCCAUAGGAAGGGGAGACUUGAUGGUGAGAAAAAGAAUGGGCCUUUAUGCCUUUGUCUCCUGUCAGGAGUUUUCCAUCUACACUAUCUGUUUAUGACCCAUCUUUCUAUCUGCCUGCCUGCCAAGGAUCUGCCUAACUCUGAGUCCCUCAAUAUUUUCAUUAUACAUUUCUAGAUAUAAAUAAUUAGAACGUUGGCCCUGAUAUUGCAGCACAAAUAAUUCUUUGCACACCAGCAUCCUUUGCAUUGAGAAUAUCUUCAGCACAACCAUUUGGAAUUCCAAUUUAUUGACUGGCCCCUUUUGGCCAAAAGCUAGUGCCAGGUACUGGGUUCUGAAGGGUAAAGUCAGAGAGGAACCCCCUUUUGCAAAAUGAAACACGAAAAUCCAGCUGCUGUUCUCACCAUAGUCCCUUGCAGAAGCCUUUUCAGCUUUCACAGAUACUGACAGCUGGCCCUUAGAGACACUCUCUGUGAGUUCCUAGUUUACAUACUUGAGUUCUCUCAUCUGACCUUGAAAAGAGAGCAUAUUACCAAAGAAGUAUUGGUAAUCAUGUGUCCUGCUUGCCCUGUUUCCUGCCUCCUGCAUGGAAAUCAAAGAGCCUGGUUACAGACCUGUGCUGUAAGACCUCUUUCAUUAUCAGAAAACAAAAAACAAAAAACAAAAAACAAAAAAACAGAAGAACCUCCUAUUCUGUCACAUGGACUCAAUUUCAUUUUUCCAGAGAUCCUACAACACUGGCUGUCUUUGGUCUUGAGGACUAAAUUCUCCUUAAAGCCCCACCUCUGCUUCUGUUUGUCUGUCUGGUGUUGAAUUAUUGCUGUAAACACAAGGGACAAUCUCUAUCUCAAUGUCCUUGAUGAUAUACAAUGGUUUUCCGCUAUCAAGGCCAGAAGCUAUUCACGAAGGGUAUAUCACCUUUAUAAAACCACUCCAACCCAAAGGCCAGGAGAAGCAGAGACAAAGAAGCACCAUAAGAGGGAAGGAAGAGGUCAGAGAGAAAGGGGAAGAGAGUCCCGAGUAAUUGCUGAAAAGAAUCUGACAACCACUACUAACAUUAUGUAGGCAAGUCUAUUAUGACCAGCUCUCAGCAUGGACAAGGAGAGAGAGAGAGAGAGAGAGAGAGAGAGAGAGAGAGAGAGAGAGAGACAGAGACAGAGACAGAGACAGAGACAGAGACAGAGACAUAAAGAAAUAGACACACAGACACACAGAGACAGACUACAUGUGCAUCAGUACCUAACAUCACUUUGUAUGAUCUUGAUAGGUAACUGGCCCAUGGUGGUCUUCCCACUCCAGGACUAGAAAUGUGUCACUACUCCAUUUUCAGUCAUGGGGAAUAAAGAGUGAAAUAGGUUGGCCUAAAACCAGCUGCUUCAGUCACCUCAGAUUCAGAUCACAGAAGAACUGGAGGAGAUGGGCUGCAGUAUUAUACUUUCAAAAGCAACCACAAACUAGAAACAUGCGUUUUGAGCAAUUAACUUAAAAAUAAAUAAUUAUUUUGUCCCUUCGAAGCUGAAACAAUGAGUACUAACUUGAGGUGAGCAUUGGGAGCUGCUGAGCAAGAGAUGAUGUUUAAAUGGUGGGAAGCUAAAAACAAUGCAAUCUAAUUUAUACUAAAGUAAGAGUACAGAAAAUUGUGCAGUUUCUGUACACUUUUUAUUCCUGUGACUGCUACCCAGAAAAAUAGUUUGGAAGAGAAACGAUUUAUUUUGGCUCACAGUUUCAGGCCUUUCAGUCCAUGGUAGGCUGGCUCCACUGCUUCAAGCCCAUGAUUAGGCAGGAGCAUAUGGUAUGGUAAAGGCCAUUCAAAUCAUGGCAGAAAGGAAACUGAGAAACUGAUGAAAUCCAUGGACAACAUGUACUCUUGCAGGGGACGCUCCUAGGGAAGUACUUUCUCCAUGUUGGUCUACCUCCCAGGUUCACCAUGUCUUAGAAGCCAUCAUCAAGUGAUGAAUCCAUUAAUGGAUUAACUUAUUGAUUAGGGCCAAGCCCUCAUGAUCUUACCACACCUAAAUAGUGACACUAGCAGGGAACACCAACCCUUGAACUCUUGAGCCUUCUGUGGGAAAUAUAGCAUAGUUGCCUCUAGUGGACUUUUGUUUGAAUGGCCAGUAUCAGUUUCUGAAAGGACUCUCUGGGUCCCAGAAUGAAUGUGAGUGAAGUUUUAUUAAUAACAUCCUCCCUCAGCCUCCCUGCAGUUAGAGUCCCCAAUGCCCUAAGGAAUUUGGGAGAGUUUCAGCAAGAAACUUCCCACAACCGUUUAUCAGCUUCUAGGAAAAUCCAAGGCAUAGUCAGUCAAGCUAUGAUAGAGAAAUGGGUGGUAGACAGCAAACGUAUGUCUCUCUUACUUCAUGUGCAAGUGUAUCUGUUUCAUUCUAUUCCCAUGCAUGGUGAAUUCUGUUUCUGCAUCCUCUCUUUCUACACUGAUACUAACAUGACAUUGUCCGUUUCUAAGCCCAGCAUCUCUUGACAUAUUCACACAUGGUUAUCCAUAUGUUCUCUUUACUCCUGUGGUACAACUGUGUGAGAGUCUCUCAGAGGAAUGCUGACAAGUUUGCACAAACUUUAAUCUCUCACCCAGGUGAGAGUCAGUGAGUGGGUAGGAAAUGGAAGAUUGCUUUUGCUAUUAGGAAGCUCUGAGGCCAAAGAGCUGUCUAGAUAACAAAUGAGAGUCUCAAACUGCUCAUAUGUCUUUGUUAAUAAAUAUUUUACUGGAAUUGCUCAUUAGCAAAUCAUUCGCAGUUUUCAAGAUUAGAUUUUGCACCUCAGAUCAUAUUUUUAAUAACUUUUCCAUAACCAUGUUUAUAACCUACAUACAAAUCUCCAACGCUUGAUAUCAUCAAACAUUCAUUUCUUAGCAAAUCCUAGCCUGUCCGCUAGUUCUGUAAGUUCAGAGUCUUCUAGUUGCAUUGGAAGGAACUCUAAACUCCAAGUGACGACUAUCAGCGAACAGAAGCAAGCUCUAUUGUUUUGUAUCUACCUGACCUUUGGGAAACAAAUCAAAUACUGGGAAUCUUCAGCUUUCCCACUUUAACACAAGGACUCACACCUUACUUAGCUCAUAGAGUCAUCAAUUAAGUGAGAUAAUACAAGCGGAAGUCCCCAGCAUCUGUUGGGAACUCAACAAAUGUUUGCUAUCAUUUGUUAGCAUGAUGUCAUUGCCCUUAACGUAAAUCCCAGGAAUAUGGAGUCAUUGCAGUGUAGAGGUGCUGGCUAAGACAGGUCAGUUCAGAGCUGCAAAAUGAUUCAGGCAGUUAUGCUUUCUGAGGGAACACAUCUAAACUUCCUUCUGUAACUGUUCAUGUAUGUAAGAGUUGAGGAAGAAAACAUUAACAUUUAGCAAACUUGCUCCAGUGGGCAAUAAUAUUCUUAAGGACAAAGCAAAUGUCACCCUGAGAACCACCUAUGUGCCCACUAUCUGUUCUCCAGCCCUCUUCACUAUACUCUGUUUCCACCCACCUUAUAUUCUCUACCAAUGCAUACUUCCCAGCUCUAUCCAAACACAGAGACCUUUGUUUCUAAGGUCUCAUCAAACAGUGCCUCAGGGUGUUGCCUUUUUUGUACGUCAACUGCAUUCAGAGAUGGCCAACAACAUCACAAACGGAAGCUUCUCAGGAAUAUCAAAUUCAGACCCUGCUUCAGAACUACGACAUCAGAAUCAGUGUUUUAACAAGAUGCUGGGUGGUUCCUGUGUAUGUCGAAAGUUGAGAAGCAUAGUCCAAACUGGCUUUCAACUCUAACACCUAUCAGAAGCCAUUUGGAAAGUAAAAACAUGUGUCUAUGUUUACUCCCUUUUCUUACAAUACAUUCUGAUUUCGUGAUUAGGAUGUGUGGACUGACCAUUUUGAAUUUUAAAAAGCUCCCAGGUGCUUGCAGUCAUGUUAAGAGUUUCUUCCCCAGCCUGUGAGGUUUGAAUGCAAUACUGUUUUUUUUUUUUUAAAACUUGGCUUCUUUAUCCAAAGACAUUAAUACAUUGAAACAGUUUUAUCUGUCACUUACCUAACAACACUGAAAAGGCUAAACCAACAAAUAAACCUCCCCAAAACAGUGUGCGUGCUGUCACUGUUGCAUAUGAACAUACGAUUAUCUCAAAAUGUAGAAUAAAAAAAUAAAUUGUAUAGGCACAUAUUUUGUAAAUGUAUAUAACAAAAGCUUGGCCUGCAAACAAACCCACAGUCCACGUGUCUCCUAUGGUCAUUUAAACAUAUUAAAUAUGAGCUGUGUAUGAGACCCGGAGGAGUUCAAACGGAAAGGGAGUGGCUUUCCUCUCCAGCCACUCUCUUUUCAAAGGUGCUCAACAAUUACAGCUUGCUAUCAUUUUCUUCCGCAGGAACAUACAGGGCCCAGAGGUGAUUCCUUUUUAUUUAUGCAGAUCAGAAGCAGCUGUGCACUGUGUCCUUUCUGUUGCUUUUACCUUUUAACACAUCUUACAGGUCUUCUCCACAUCCCCAUCACUCUUUGCAGUUACAGCUUUCCAAAUUUUGUUGAUCAAAAUCUUCCGUGUGCUUGGUUUUGUUUUCUUCUUGUUUGCUUCUUUUUGAUUCUUCAUACGUGGUUGCUGAUUAUUUCUUAUGUCACAAAGUGAAUAUGGAGCCUGUCUAUCUCAACGCAGCUCAGAAAAGGCGCCCGUGGAGCAUGUUUUAGAGAUAUAAUUCUUUGGAUAAAUAUUAGGGGCACGUUUAUCUCACUUGUGGGCUGCUAAAUUGACAUGCAACAAAUAAACUCUCUCAGCACCAAAUAUGUUUCUACGUUAUACUGUUCCUAGGAGCACAAGAUGUCAUCAAACAUUUGGUUAGGAACAUAAGAAAAGUUCUGUGCUUGAGUGAUGUGUCAAACAUCUGUAUGGUAUGUAAGGAACAAACAUUUUCAUUUUGUUGUUGCUAUCUCCUUUUCCUUUUUAAUACAAUGUAUCCUUUUCUUAUUUUAUUGUUAAAUCCAAAUAAUUAAGUCAGCAAUCAAAUGACCUGCAAUGGUGGAAUUUCCUCUGCGCCUGUGUCUUGACAAAGUACACUAUAAGAAGUAGGGCACAGACAGGAGCCCUUGGCUGGUCCCAUCCCACCCCACAACGAAACGUAGAGGAUCCCACAUGGACAGAGCCAUUUCCUUCUGCUCUUGGAUUGCUUACUGAUAAUGGGAGGAAUCUUCAGCAGAGGCUUCUGAAGGUUGGCUUAUGAAAGGAGAAGGGACUUAUGAAAACUAAUGCCAUUGUCUCUGAGCCAAUGACUCAGCAUCUGCUCCUACCUCAGGGAUGAUACGGCCUCCAACAGAAACAGGGUCAUCUGACCCAGAAAAAUCUCAAGAAUAGAAAAAGACCGAUUA